GGGUAGUCGAUGGACAACAGGUUAAUAUUCCUGUACUUGUUUAUACUGCGAUGGGGUGACGAUGUACUGAAAGCACCGCGCACUGACGGAAUAGUGCGUUGAAGACUGUAUCUAUAGGACCUGUAGGCAAAUCCGCAGGACCUGGAGAAGGUCGAUAGUACCGAGAGUCUUCGGACAAUCGGAUAGUGUGCCUAAAAACAUCCAAGAAAAACCUCUAAGCUUCAGGUAUAAACAACGCGUACCGUAAACCGACACAGGUAGAUGGGAUGAGAAUUCUAAGGCGCUCGAGUGAUUCAUGGCUAAGGAACUAGGCAAAAUAGUCCCGUAACUUCGGGAGAAGGGACGCCUGCUUCGGCAGGCCGCAGUGAAAAGGCCCAGGCGACUGUUUAUCAAAAACACAGGACUCUGCUAAAUCGAAAGAUGAUGUAUAGGGCCUGACACCUGCCCGGUGCUGGAAGGUGA
rnacentral:rRNA from 1 species